rnacentral:rRNA from 1 species
GACGAACGCUGGCGGCGUGCUUAACACAUGCAAGUCGAACGGAAAGGCCCUGCUUUGUGGGGGUGCUCGAGUGGCGAACGGGUGAGUAACACGUGAGUAACCUGCCCUUGACUGUGGGAUAACUUCAUGAAACUGGGGCUAAUACCGGAUAGGAGCUCCUGCUGCAUGGUGGGGGUUGGAAAGUUUCGGCGGUUGGUGAUGGACUCGCGGCUUAUCAGCUUGUUGGUGGGGUAGUGGCUUACCAAGGCUUUGACGGGUAGCCGGCCUGAGAGGGUGACCGGCCACAUUGGGACUGAGAUACGGCCCAGCCUCCUACGGGAGGCAGCAGUGGGGAAUAUUGCACAAUGGGCGGAAGCAUGAUGUAGUACCGCAGCGUGCGGGAUGACGGCCUUCGGGUUGUAAACCGCUUUCGCCUGUGACGAAGCGUAAGUGACGGUAAUGGGUAAAGAAGCACCGGCUAACUACGUG